rnacentral:ncRNA from 1 species
ACACAACUCUGGAGAGUCCCUUAAGGGCGCCGAAGGUGCACGGAAUCGUUGAUUCCUUAUCUCUCAGGCAAAAGGACAGAGA